CUCUGAGUGGCCCUGCGGCUUUGCUGGGAGGUGAGGGACACGGAGCUGCAGGGACCCCAUCCAGCCUCUCAGCUUUACUCCGGCACCACUGGCUGAGUGUGGAAUGUCUGGUGAAGUUGUGCAGGGUUCUUGCUUCUACAUAACCCCAUCAGCAAAAUCCGAUAAACAGCGGCUGUUGAUUGUUGGUCUUAUGGACACGAAGAUGCUUUAUUCUCCAUGGAGUGAAGGCAUUUCCUUGCCUCCCGUUCCCCAGGACAGGAAUGACAGACCUUUACUAUCCCUGCCCUUGGUGCCUGGUGGCCAGUGCGGUCAGCUGGCUGCCCUGUGAAGGGAGAACGGAGAGUCUGAGCAGUAGCGCCAAGGCGGCACCAGGCCUCCCAGCAAGGCGUCCCAGGUCCUCACCAGACCACGCAGGGGUGUGGCCCUGCUGGUCCUUCACUGCUCUUUGCCCUUGGGUUUUGCCUAUCUCCCCAUCGUGAAGCCCUGUACUGCCUUCCCAGCCUUUGUGAUGAUUCUGUGAGCUGCCUGAGAUGUUUCCAAAAACACACAGAAUGGAAUAAAAG